rnacentral:rRNA from 1 species
UGAGGAAUUUUGCGCAAUGGGAGCAAUCCUGACGCAGCAACGCCGCGUGGGUGAUGAAGGCCUUCGGGUCGUAAAGCCCUGUCAGGUGGGAAGAAUGUCCCGGGACUGAACAGGUUCCGGGAGUGACGGUACCACCAGAGGACGCACCGGCUAACUCCGUGCCAGCCGCCGCGGGAAUACGGAGGGUGCAAGCGUUAUUCGGAAUUACUGGGCGUACAGCGCGUGUAGGCGGUCCUGCCAGUCUGAUGUGAAAGCCCCGGGCUUAACCCGGGAAGUGCAUUGGAAACUGUGGGACUUGAGUACUGGAGAGGAUGGGGGAAUUCCCGGUGUAGAGGUGAAAUUCGUAGAGAUCGGGAGGAAUAUCAGUGGCGAAGGCGCCCAUCUGGACGGUAACUGACGCUGAGACGCGAAAGCGUGGGGAGCAAACA